UACAGAGGUGGCAAGCGUUGUUCGGAAUUACUGGGCGUAAAGGGCGAGUAGGCGGCUUUUUAAGUCAGACGUGAAAUCCCCCGGCUUAACCUGGGAACUGCGUCUGAUACUGGAAGGCUUGAGAUUGGGAGAGGGAUGCGGAAUUCCAGGUGUAGCGGUGAAAUGCGUAGAUAUCUGGAGGAACACCGGUGGCGAAGGCGGCAUCCUGGACCAACACUGACGCUGAGGAGCGAAAGCCAGGGGAGCAAACGGG
rnacentral:rRNA from 1 species